GCUGGCAUAGCUCAGUGGUAGAGCGGAAGAUUGCAGUUAUGCAACCAAUCUUCAGGUUAGUACAAUGCUACCUAAGUUCGAAAAUAACUUUAAACUCACACUCCGCUUAGGUCAUGUGUUCGAACCACAUUGUCAGCU